UAACAUGUCAAAUGUCCAGGCAGGUUGUC
rnacentral:piRNA from 1 species